AACCGCGGAACGGCUCAUUACACCAGCUGUAAUUUACUUGACCUUGACAAACCUACUUGGAUAACUGUGGUAAUUCUAGAGCUAUACAUGCACCAAAACUCCGAUCGCAAGAGAGGAGUGCAUUUGUUCGCCACAAAACCAGCGCCCUCGGGCGUCACAUUGCUGACCCAGAACAACUCAGCUGAUCGCACGGUCUUGCACGGCGACGUGUCUUUCAAGUGUCUGCCUUAUCAACUUUCGAUGGUAGUGUACCUGACUACCAUGGUUGUGACGGGUAACGGAGGAUAAGGGUUCGACUCCGGAGAAGGGGCCUGAGAAAUGGCCACUACGUCUAAGGAUGGCAGCAGGCGCGCAAAUUACCCACUCUCGACUCGAGGAGGUAGUGACGAGAAAUAACAAGACCGUUCUCACAUGAGGCCGGUCAUUGGAAUGGGUACAAUUUAAACCCUUUAACGAGUAUCUAUGAGAGGGCAAGUCUGGUGCCAGCAGCCGCGGUAAUUCCAGCUCUCAAAAUGCAUAGAAUUAUUGCUGCGGUUAAAAAGCUCGUAGUUGGAUCUGUGCUGGCCGCCCGGUCUGCCCAUUGGGUAUGCACUGGCGCGGUCGGCUUUUGCUGCCGGUUUACGCCCGGCGUUGGCCUUCAUCGGUCGGCGUCGGUGGGCCGGCGAGUUUACUUUGAACAAAUCAGAGUGCUUAAAACAGGCGUUUCGCCUGAAUGUUCGUGCAUGGAAUAAUAGAAGAGGAUCACGGUCCGAUUUUAUUGGUUUUGCUGACCGAGAUAAUGGUUAACAGAGACAAACGGGGCCAUUCGUAUUGCUGCGUGAGAGGUGAAAUUCUUGGACCGUAGCAAGACGGACUACAGCGAAAGCAUUUGGCAAGAAUGUCUUCAUUAAUCAAGAACGAAAGUCAGAGGUUCGAAGGCGAUCAGAUACCGCCCUAGUUCUGACCGUAAACGAUGCCAACUAGCGAUCCGCCGGCGGAUUCAUUCGCCCUGGUGGGGAGCUUCCCGGAAACGAAAGUCUUCCGGUUCCGGGGGAAGUAUGGUUGCAAAGCUGAAACUUAAAGGAAUUGACGGAAGGGCACCACCAGGAGUGGAGCCUGCGGCUUAAUUUGACUCAACACGGGGAAACUCACCCGGCCCGGACACCGUGAGGAUUGACAGAUUGAUAGCUUUUUCAUGAUUCGGUGGAUGGUGGUGCAUGGCCGUUUCUUAGUUA
rnacentral:rRNA from 1 species